rnacentral:rRNA from 1 species
CAGUCGCCGCGGUAAGACAGAGGAUGCAGGCGUUAUCCGGAAUGAUUGGGCGUAAAGCGUCUGUAGGUGGCUUUUCAAGUCCGCUGUCAAAUCCCAGGGCUCAACCCUGGACAGGCGGUGGAAACUACCAAGCUAGAGUACGGUAGGGGCAGAGGGAAUUUCCAGUGGAGCGGUGAAAUGCGUUGAGAUCGGAAAGAACACCAACGGCGAAAGCACUCUGCUGGGCCGACACUGACACUGAGAGACGAAAGCUAGGGGAGCAAAUGGGAUUAGAUACCCCCGUAGUCCCUGUCUCUUAUAC